GUCACUGCAUAAACACAGCGCUGGAAUAAAGGGUGACUUUAUAUGAAAAGCUGCAGUGUGUUCAUUUUGAAAUGUGGAAGAAAACUGGUGUAGAUGUCUUAAAUUAAGGAGGAGGAAUUUGUUGGGAAGAGUCCAACUUCAGCUCACUGAUUCCCUGCAGCAGUAUUGAACUUCUCUCCUACAAACACUGUAGCAAACAGAAAAAAGAGCUCAGAGAGCAAUUCUCAUGCAAUCUUCACAGGAACAGCUACUAUAUUUUUAUACACACAAACCUACAUUUUAACCCUCAUCAGUACACCCAGGGUCUGCAUGAACCCCAGGUGUAUACAACUUGUCAUAUUUUUUUAUCUGUAAGUUGGAUUUUUCAGUCCCUUUAGGUAGUUGUUACCCACAUAGUUUCCAUCACAUAAACCAAAGCUUAUUUGAUUCCAACCAGGUUUGUGGUGUAUAUAUAGAAAAAUCAUUUAGGGUACAUGUGGACCCCAGCCAGACCCCAGCCAGAUUGUGCAUCUUUUAUUUAUGUAAGUUUGUGUUAUAUUGCUCUUAUGAUGACUGGUUCAGUUGAAUUGUGUUUCAUUUCAAUUCAGGAGUUAUUACAGUAAUACUCUAAAGCCGCGAUUCCACAAGCACCUACUCGGCGCAGUGCUGCUCGCCACUACUGUAUUUGACUCGGCUCGUCUCGGUUUAGUUGUUUUUCCAUAUAGCCUCAUCGUGGGUGGAGUCGUCAUAGCGCAGCGAGCCGAAAGUCCCUUAACGUCAUUUGUGUGCGACACAAAGUCAACAUAACGGAGAAGAUGGUACACCUGCUGCUCGGUCUGUGGAUUUCUGUUAGAUUCAAAGUGAUAGAAGAGUCGGAGAAAGCUGAGAGCGGCGAGUCGAAACACUCAGGAGACACACAGGAGAGUUUGGGAGGCGAUACAGCAGUAUCAAGUUGAAGACAAGAGGAUAUGAACUAGACGACAUAUGAGGGUGGCUCUCUUAUGAGACUUCAUGGGAUUUACCUGAAGCAGCAGCACAUGAGCCUGCAGUGGCACAAGGUGUAGAGGAGGAGGACAGAGAUGUACAGGAUGCACUGAUGCACUACGUGUCAUGCAAAGUUAUUCUUCUUGUUAUACUUCUGUUUUUCUGUCCCCGGACCGCUAUUGUUUUCUUUAAUGCAAUUCUGACAAUAAACUUUUGUACCUUUUGCAGAUGUGUCUAUGCUAUUGUUUUAUUUGUGAAGGUUAGCAAGAUUACAUGACAAAUUAAACACCAAAACAUUAAAACAGCUGUUUUAAGAAUAUUCCAGUUUGAUAAAUCAGUAUUGCUUUGGUGUAAUUCAGUCAACGGAAUUAUGAACCAUAAAGGAGUUUGUGUUAAAACAUGUUAAAUCCCAUUAAACAUAAAUGCAUUAUUAGGGAAUACAGAA